rnacentral:tRNA from 1 species
GUUUGUGGCUCAGUGGCAAAGCGCUUGCCUCGCACUUGUGAGGGGCACUGGGUUCGAUCCUCAGCACCACA